UCCCUUCUCUGUCUCUGUUUCCUGGCUGCCAUGACGUGAGCAACUUUCCUCCUCCGUAUCUCUCUGCUGCGUAACUCCUGCCCUGCAACCAGCCAACCAUGGACUGUAAACAUGAGCCAAGAAUUACUUAAUCAUCAUGACAUUAUGGUAUACCAACAUCCUUGCUUCUGGGCCAGUGAACUCAUUUUACAGAGAAUGAACACAAUUUAUGAAGCAGCUGACCUGAUAGAAUUUUGUAAUGACCUUUGAAGACUCAGUUUAGUGCCAGAAAUCCAAUGUGAUCAGAGCCAUCAGCAAGAUAUGUCCCCCAAAAUCUGUUUUAUAAUUUCCCAAUGGACAUUGCGGCAGAUUAAAAUGAAGUGAA